rnacentral:snRNA from 1 species
CAAUAAGCGGAGGAAAAG